GAUAAACGCUGGCGGCAUGCCUAACACAUGCAAGUCGAACGGACAGAACAGGGAAGCUUUUCGGAGUGGAACUGGAAAGUUAGUGGCGGAUGGGUGAGUAACGCGUGGACAACCUACCUUGUAAAGGGGAAUAACCUCGAGAAAUCGAAGCUAAUACCCCAUAAUAACCUUGCUUCGCAUGAAGUAAGGAGGAAAGGCGGCCUUAGCGCUGUCGAUACAAGAUGGGUCCGCGUCUGAUUAGCUAGUUGGUGAGGUAAAGGCCCACCAAGGCGACGAUCAGUAGCCGGCCUGAGAGGGUGAACGGCCACAUUGGGACUGAGACACGGCCCAAACUCCUACGGGAGGCAGCAGUGGGGAAUCUUCCGCAAUGGGCGAAAGCCUGACGGAGCAAUGCCGCGUGAGUGAAGAAGGCCUUCGGGUUGUAAAACUCUGUCCUUAUCGAAGAGAGAGUGUUGUAGUAACUGACAAUACUAGGACGGUAGAUGAGGAGGAAGCCCCGGCUAACUAUGUG
rnacentral:rRNA from 1 species